CCUGGUGACUAUGUCGAAGGGGCAACACCCGUUCCCAUUCCGAACACGGAAGUUAAGACCUUCAGAGCUGAUGGUACUGUACGGGAUAACUGUGCGGAAGAGUAGGACGUUGCCGGGG
rnacentral:rRNA from 1 species